rnacentral:lncRNA from 1 species
AGGGAAGGAAUACUCAGUUGCGACAGCAACGGCCAAUAUGUUCUUGUAGCCAUUGAUGAACAUGUGUGGUGCAGCAGCCAGGGUUGGGUACGAGAUGGCGAGAGACAAUGCCGUAACCAUGGAGACACCAGUAGCGAAUUUCUCAAUCAGGUCAUCCUCGGUAAGGUCAAGCACCUCAGGGCUAAAGACUGACCCAUUGUCAUAAACAGACAAGACAACAAGACCGUAUGAGAAUGGUCUGAUUCCGAGCUUGGCAAGAAGUGCAGCCUCGGAAGAACCAACCUUCUCACCCUUCUUGAUAAGCUCAACGGGAGUGAUAAUUUCAACAG